rnacentral:rRNA from 1 species
GGCGAACGCUGGCGGCGUGCUUAACACAUGCAAGUCGAACGGAAAGGCCCUGCUUUUGUGGGGUGCUCGAGUGGCGAACGAGUGAGUAACACGUGAGUAACCUGCCCUUGACUUUGGGAUAACUUCAGGAAACUGGGGCUAAUACCGGAUAGGAGCUCCUGCUGCAUGGUGGGGGUUGGAAAGUUUCGGCGGUUGGGGAUGGACUCGCGGCUUAUCAGCUUGUUGGUGGGGUAGUGGCUUACCAAGGCUUUGACGGGUAGCCGGCCUGAGAGGGUGACCGGCCACAUUGGGACUGAGAUACGGCCCAGACUCCUACGGGAGGCAGCAGUGGGGAAUAUUGCACAAUGGGCGGAAGCCUGAUGCAGCAACGCCGCGUGCGGGAUGACGGCCUUCGGGUUGUAAACCGCUUUCGCCUGUGACGAAGCGUGAGUGACGGUAAUGGGUAAAGAAGCACCGGCUAACUACGUG